rnacentral:tRNA from 4 species
GUGGCCGUAGCUCAGCUUGGUUAGAGCGCCUGGUUGUGGUCCAGGAGGUCGCGGGUUCAAAUCCCGUCGGUCACCCCA